rnacentral:rRNA from 1 species
UGGGGAAUAUUGCACAAUGGGGGAAACCCUGAUGCAGCAACGCCGCGUGAAGGAUGAAGGUUUUCGGAUCGUAAACUUCUAUCAACAGGGACGAAACAAAUGACGGUACCUGAAUAAGAAGCCCCGGCUAACUACGUGCCAGCAGCCGCGGUAAUACGUAGGGGGCAAGCGUUAUCCGGAAUUACUGGGUGUAAAGGGAGCGUAGGCGGCACGUCAAGCCAGAUGUGAAAGCCCGGGGCUUAACCCCGUGGAUUGCAUUUGGAACUGGCGAGCUAGAGUACAGGAGAGGAAGGCGGAAUUCCUAGUGUAGCGGUGAAAUGCGUAGAUAUUAGGAAGAACACCAGUGGCGAAGGCGGCUUUCUGGACUGAAACUGACGCUGAGGCUCGAAAGCGUGGGGAGCAAACAGGAUUAGAUACC